rnacentral:rRNA from 1 species
CACGUAGGCACCAAGCGUUGUCCGGAUUUAUUGGGCGUAAAGAGCUCGUAGGCGGUUCGGUAAGUCGGGUGUGAAAACUCUGGGCUCAACCCAGAGCCGCCACCCGAUACUGCUGUGACUUGAGUUCGGUAGGGGAGCGGGGAAUUCCUGGUGUAGCGGUGAAAUGCGCAGAUAUCAGGAAGAACACCAAUGGCGAAAGCAGCUCUCUGGGACGGUACUGACGCUGAGACGCGAAAGCGUGGGGAGCGAACAGG